rnacentral:rRNA from 1 species
GGUGAGUAAUGCCUAGGAAUCUGCCUGGUAGUGGGGGAUAACGUCCGGAAACGGACGCUAAUACCGCAUACGUCCUACCGGAGAAAGCAGGGGACCUUCGGGCCUUGCGCUAUCAGAUGAGCCUAGGUCGGAUUAACUAGUUGGUGGGGUAAUGGCUCACCAAGGCGACGAUCCGUAACUGGUCUGAGAGGAUGAUCAGUCACACUGGAACUGAAACACGGUCCAGACUCCUACGGGAGGCACAGUGGGGAAUAUUGGACAAUGGGCGAAAGCCUGAUCCAGCCAUGCCGCGUGUGUGAAGAAGGUCUUCGGAUUGUAAAGCACUUUAAGUUGGGAGGAAGGGCAGUAAAUUAAUACUUUGCUGUU